ACGCGUUGGGAGCUCUCCCAUAUGGUCGACCUGCAGGCGGCCGCGAAUUCACUAGUGAUUAGAGUUUGAUCAUGGCUCAGAUUGAACGCUGGCGGCAGGCCUAACACAUGCAAGUCGAGCGGUAGAGAGGUGCUUGCACCUCUUGAGAGCGGCGGACGGGUGAGUAAUGCCUAGGAAUCUGCCUGGUAGUGGGGGAUAACGCUCGGAAACGGACGCUAAUACCGCAUACGUCCUACGGGAGAAAGCAGGGGACCUUCGGGCCUUGCGCUAUCAGAUGAGCCUAGGUCGGAUUAGCUAGUUGGUGGGGUAAUGGCUCACCAAGGCGACGAUCCGUAACUGGUCUGAGAGGAUGAUCAGUCACACUGGAACUGAGACACGGUCCAGACUCCUACGGGAGGCAGCAGUGGGGAAUAUUGGACAAUGGGCGAAAGCCUGAUCCAGCCAUGCCGCGUGUGUGAAGAAGGUCUUCGGAUUGUAAAGCACUUUAAGUUGGGAGGAAGGGCAUUAACCUAAUACGUUAGUGUUUUGACGUUACCGACAGAAUAAGCACCGGCUAACUCUGUGCCAGCAGCCGCGGUAAAUCGAAUUCCCGCGGCCGCCAUGGCGGCCGGGAGCAUGCGACGUC
rnacentral:rRNA from 1 species